GUAUACGGCCAUGCCACCCUGAACACACCCUAUCUCAUCUGAUCUCGGAAGCUAAGCAGGGUCGGGCCUGGUUAGUACUUGGAUGGGAGACCACGUAGAAAUACCAGGUGCUGUAGGCG
rnacentral:rRNA from 1 species